rnacentral:rRNA from 1 species
UACGUAGGGGGCAAGCGUUGUCCGGAUUUAUUGGGCGUAAAGAGCGUGUAGGCGGCCAUGCAGGUCAGCUGUGAAAACUCGAUGGCUCAACCUCGAGAUGUCGGUUGAAACCGUAUGGCUAGAGUCCGGAAGAGGAGAGUGGAAUUCCCGGUGUAGCGGUGAAAUGCGCAGAUAUCGGGAAGAACACCCGUGGCGAAGGCGGCUCUCUGGGACGGUACUGACGCUGAGACGCGAAAGCGUGGGGAGCGAACAGG